rnacentral:rRNA from 1 species
UACGAAGGGGGCUAGCGUUGCUCGGAAUCACUGGGCGUAAAGCGCGCGUAGGCGGACUCUUAAGUCAGGGGUGAAAUCCUGGAGCUCAACUCCAGAACUGCCUUUGAUACUGGGAGCCUUGAGUUCGGGAGAGGUGAGUGGAACUGCGAGUGUAGAGGUGAAAUUCGUAGAUAUUCGCAAGAACACCAGUGGCGAAGGCGGCUCACUGGCCCGAUACUGACGCUGAGGUGCGAAAGCGUGGGGAGCAAACAGG